rnacentral:rRNA from 1 species
UACGAAGGGGGCUAGCGUUGCUCGGAAUCACUGGGCGUAAAGGGUGCGUAGGCGGGUCUUUUAAGUCAGGGGUGAAAUCCUGGAGCUCAACUCCAGAACUGCCUUUGAUACUGAAGAUCUCGAGUCCGGGAGAGGUGAGUGGAACUGCGAGUGUAGAGGUGAAAUUCGUAGAUAUUCGCAAGAACACCAGUGGCGAAGGCGGCUCACUGGCCCGGUACUGACGCUGAGGCACGAAAGCGUGGGGAGCAAACAGG